UCCCAUCUGCACUGAGAGCACCAAGACCAGAGCUUGGGCCCAUGGUAGAACACUCACCUUGCUGCAGGUGCGCCCUUCUGAGAGGCCUUGAGUGAGACACUUACACAUGCAAAAAACUUCCAUCCUGAAUGGAAAGAAGUCUGGGGUGGUGGUUUGCUGACAGACCCAGGCUGGGAGAAGCCUGCAGCAAUCAGAGGCCAUUUCCUGGGCCACAAGGAGCCACCUGCUGAGCCCACUGCUCCCCAUCUCCUCUCCUACGUGUCUGCCCUCUCAAACGUGCUUCCUCAGGGCACUUGUUCUCUUUCUUCAUUGAGCAAGCAGCACUCACACCUGCUCCCCUCACCCUCCCACGCGGCUCAGCAUUGCAACAAAAUUAGGAAACUAUGCCCAUUUCUCCACAGAAAAUCCUUGCAGGGCUCUGCCAGCUGCCACCCCUCUGACAGAUGUUCUGCUCAAGCCCUCACUAUCGUUCUUACACAGUGGCAGCCUGGGUAAAUAUUUCACGCCUCAUGCCAAACUUUUAGUGCUCUCAGUUGGAGGGAAUGGCAUCACCAAAUUCAGCCUGGGCCAUCCACAGCUUUGGGAUGCUGAUUUCUGAACUCUCCAUGGUCUUGCUUGUAGGCCUGCUGAGUGAUGACAUUCCCUGAGCUGCUUUCCUGGGAGGCGGAGCGAGAAGGAAUGACAGCAAGGCAUGUUGCGGGAGCACCAUUCUCUGCUUGCCAGUCUCCCAUGGACAUUUUCAGUGUCAGGCUACCUUGUGAGGAAGGAAGUGAGCACCAGAGGCCCGCUCUUGGGAAGUGCAGGAAGAAGCUCGGUCCAGCCACAGACUGCAGCAAGGAGGGUGCUGUCAUGCAGAAAAUCUUGGCAGAAGCCUCCGAGUGCUGAGCCCUCUCCCAGCACCACCAACCAAGGCAGCCAAGCGAGCGACAGCUACUAACAGGCCAUCUCCAGCCUGGCCCAGAUCCGAGUGCCUGCCUGAGCCAAUGCUCACUAGCACUGUGCUCUACCUAGGCACAGUCAGCCAGGUGGCAUUGGCAAGCGACCAAGGCAAGCAGCUCACUCCUGGGGAGCAGUCUUCCAUCCGAGGUGGAACGUGACAGGAGAUGUGGUGCCCAUUGGCAGCGAGAUCAGAUGUGCCUUAUAACAGUUUCUGAAGCUCUGGAACUAGUUCAGGCCUGAAAUGUAGAGAAAUUUGGUUAACUUGUUCUGUUUUGUCUGAAUAGCUUCUCUUUUAUUUUUUUGUGCGUGUGGGAUCUGGCUUCAGCUCCUGUUGGGAGUGCUGAAAUUCCAUCACAAAAGCUGCCUCAUCACUUAGCUUUUUAUUAUAGUCUUUCAGCACCACAUGACUGUUAGUGAAUCUCCAGCCAUGCUGGAAAUGGGAAAAAAACAAUAAAUAGCUUUUUAGAUAGUGCAAAAAAGACCAUGUGUUUCUGCCAACAGCCACCCCCAUUUACAUUUCCCCUCUCCCCCAACUACCACAAGAUGGGAUUAACUGGAGGUCCCCAUUACCUUCAGGAUGAUUAUUUGCAGUGGGAAGUAUUUUUCAAAGUGAGUGACAGCACUGUGGUGGGAGGAAGAGAGAUCCCUUGAGGGGCCUCUAACACUCCUCUUUGCAUUUUCCAUUCCUUAGUAAUCACUCCUCUGCAGGCCUGUCCUACAGGGCUGGCCUGCCUAGCCCAUAAUUGCCAGAGAAAUCAAAAUAUAAAGUAUGGCAGCUGCAGGCAUCCAGUGGAAAAACAUCCCUGCAUGCACAGGCACAAGACUAAGGGAGAGAGAGAGGGGAGAGAAAGCACAUUAAAGGAAAGGCAACACUUUUAGCAGGCUGGAGUGUCCUUGACCAAAGGAGACAUCAAAGACAGCUCCAGUGAUUUACUCUUUGACAGGCUGGCAUCUCUGUGAUUCACAGAGCUAAUCAAUUAGGUGAUACAUUCCCCCUCCCUGCCACCCCUUUAUUUUUAACAGCUUCUUGCCAAGAGUGGAAAUGCUCCACAACUGAAUGGGUAACCACAUCCAGACCACACUGCAAGACCUGACAAAUAUCAUCCCAGUGGAUUGCAAGGGGGUCAGAGCUCUGCUAAAGGGGAUUUGUCACUGGGCAAGGCAGCUUAGCCCCAUCAACAAUGCACGAAACAUAUUCCUGGGUCACACAAAACAACCAGCAUAGCAAAGUUGCACAACCCCUCUAUUUAACUGGAUUUAGGUCUAUCCCUACCUGACCCCAUCUGUGCCACAUGCAGGCUUUACAAGACAUCCAGCACUUCAGACCUUCAGACCUGGGCAAGCAAAGUGGCCUUAAGAAGCACCCCUCCCUCUGAACAUAUAUUUCUACAUAUCUGAACAUACAUAUCUACACCUCUGAAC